UACGUAGGGUGCAAGCGUUAAUCGGAAUUACUGGGCGUAAAGCGUGCGCAGGCGGUCUUGCAAGACAGAUGUGAAAUCCCCGGGCUCAACCUGGGAACUGCAUCUGUGACUGCAAGGCUGGAGUGCGGCAGAGGGGGAUGGAAUUCCGCGUGUAGCAGUGAAAUGCGUAGAUAUGCGGAGGAACACCGAUGGCGAAGGCAAUCCCCUGGGCCUGCACUGACGCUCAUGCACGAAAGCGUGGGGAUCAAACAGG
rnacentral:rRNA from 1 species